CAUAAUAUUCAUUUUAUUUCUCAAAAAUGAAUUUCCUAUGAGCGAUUUUGAUUUAUAGGCCACUUGCAGUCGUAUAGAUGGAAGCACAUUAUCGGGCAAGAUACCUGAUUUUAUUGGCAAUUGGACCAAAAUUACAAGAUUGGACAUGCAAGGCACAUCUAUGGAGGGACCUAUCCCUUCAAGCAUAUCUUUGUUGACAAACUUGACGCAGUUGAGAAUAUCUGAUUUGAAAGGUCCAAGCUCGAAUUUUCCUGAUUUGCAGCGCAUGAAUAU